rnacentral:rRNA from 1 species
CAGAUAAUAGUAGAUAUCAUGAAGAAUAAGCAAGCUGCCAAUCCAGCCUUCUACUUUGAUUACCAACUCGAUGAGAAUGAUAAACUUAUAAAUAUUUUCUGGGCCGAUAGUAUAUGCAGAAAAAACUACUCAUUGUUUGGUGAAGUGGUGUCUUUCGACUCCACAUACCGCUUUAAUAGGUAUGACUUGGUGUUUGCCCCUUUCACCGGAGUUAACAACCACAAAUCUUGUGUUACAUUUGGUGCUGCUUUUUUAUGGAAUGAGAAGCAAGAAUCUUAUAUAUGGUUGUUCAAGACUUUCUUGAAAGCAAUGUGUGGGGUUGCACCUAAGCUAAUCAUUACCGAUGAAGAUCAAAGCAUGAGAAUAGGGAUAGAACAUGUUUUCCCGAACACUAUACAUAGACUUUGCAUGUGGCACAUCCUCAUGAAGCUUACGGAA